UACGAAGGGUGCAAGCGUUAAUCGGAAUUACUGGGCGUAAAGGGUGCGUAGGCGGUUGUUUAAGUCUGUCGUGAAAUCCCCGAGCUCAACCUGGGGAAUGGCGAUGGAUACUGGACAGCUAGAGUGUGUCAGAGGAUGGGUGGAAUUCCCGGUGUAGCGGUGAAAUGCGUAGAGAUCGGGAGGAACAUCAGUGGCGAAGGCGGCCUCUGGGGACAACACUGACGCUGAAGCACGAAAGCGUGGGGGAGCAAACAGGAUUAGAUACCCCGAGAG
rnacentral:rRNA from 1 species